CAUGUGACUAAAUUUCAACAAAAGCAGGGUUUAUUUAUAUACUUUUUCUCUCUUCUGGGUUGUUCCAGAAUACUGCUUCCUCACCUCUGCUACAUGAUCACCAGCAAUGGAAUUCAACCAGUGUUGAUUGAGUGGGGAUUCGGAUCUGGGUUUAAAAGAGUCUAAAGGGAAUGAGAUGAAGCUGGUCUUCCAGCUCCCCAUCCUCCUUCUGAGCCCUCCUGCGGGUCACACAGUCCAGAUAACUGGCCAUCACUCCAGGGAGCUCAGAGAACAGAAGGUUGGCCCAAGGCUCUGCGUCCAAGACGACUGCGUCACAAAGCGGGGGUCUCCCCUUCUGUGUCCUUUCUCUAAUAAUGACGCUUCGCCUCCCUCUCUGCUUCAGCCUACACAAGAGCCUCCUUAUAUAUCGUCCGAAGCCCCAGGAUUUCCAGAGCCGAAAUCCAAGCUGAAAAUGCAGGCAAUUACCCAGAUAAUUUAGGUAAACGUUGGGGCUGUGUGGUGAGUGUUUUAACAUCCGCGUCUGAAUUAUUGGAGUAAUUGUUUCCACUCCUCCUUCUCAUUGUGAGGUUGAAGAGGCAAUUCUCCCCACAACAACCCCUGUUUGUUUUGUCUGGGUUGAACAAGGCCAGUAGCUAAGGAGAGAGAGCUGAAUAAAACUCCUGGAGAACCGGGCGGCCGGGCGAACUCCGGAGGGCCGAGCCAAUUUGUGAUUGAGGUCAAUCACCUUUGUGUUUCCAUAAAAACCCCAUCCAGUUGGCACACUCAAUCCCUAACCAAGUCCCCGAACAUGCCCCCAACGUAGGAAACAUCAAAGAAGCGAGGGCGCGUGUGUACGCAUGUGUGUUUGUGUUAAAAAAAAAAAAAAAAAAAAAAAAGGAACUAAAGGAGAUUUUUUUAAACACUGAAAUCAAGUCUUUUAUAACUUUUUUUUAGGAAAUGAGAGUGAAUUUUGGAGUCGGGUACUUAGGAUCCCCUCCAUCCCUGCCCCCACCC
rnacentral:lncRNA from 1 species